GAUGAACGCUGGCGGCGUGCCUAAUACAUGCAAGUCGAGCGAACAGACGAGGAGCUUGCUCCUCUGAUGUUAGCGGCGGACGGGUGAGUAACACGUGGAUAACCUACCUAUAAGACUGGGAUAACUUCGGGAAACCGUAGCUAAUACCGGAUAAUAUAUUGAACCGCAUGGUUCAAUAGUGAAAGACGGUUUUGCUGUCACUUAUAGAUGGAUCCGCGCCGCAUUAGCUAGUUGGUAAGGUAACGGCUUACCAAGGCAACGAUGCGUAGCCGACCUGAGAGGGUGAUCGGCCACACUGGAACUGAGACACGGUCCAGACUCCUACGGGAGGCAGCAGUAGGGAAUCUUCCGCAAUGGGCGAAAGCCUGACGGAGCAACGCCGCGUGAGUGAUGAAGGUCUUCGGAUCGUAAAACUCUGUUAUUAGGGAAGAACAAAUGUGUAAGUAACUAUGCACGUCUUGACGGUACCUAAUCAGAAAGCCACGGCUAACUACGUG
rnacentral:rRNA from 1 species